rnacentral:rRNA from 1 species
UACGGGGGGAGCAAGCGUUGUUCGGAAUUACUGGGCGUAAAGGGCGCGUAGGCGGCCUGCUAAGUCGAACGUGAAAUCCCCGGGCUCAACCCGGGAACUGCGUCCGAUACUGGCAGGCUUGAAUCCGGGAGAGGGAUGUGGAAUUCCAGGUGUAGCGGUGAAAUGCGUAGAUAUCUGGAGGAAUACCGGUGGCGAAGGCGGCAUCCUGGACCGACACUGACGCUGAGGAGCGAAAGCCAGGGGAGCAAAGCGGGAUUAAGAUG